GUAACGCAGAAAUCAAGCCGCUCCUCUCUGGCUGCCAGACACCUCCUGAGCUAGACCCCACCAGGACAGGGCAUCAAGAUAUGAAGCCCCUGAGGAAAGGGUACCCAGGAGCCACGGGCCGGUGCCCAGGAGCAGGUCACUGCUCGGUUACCCUGUCGACUCGUCGAGGGGCCUCACCCAGGUGUGAAUGGUACGGAGCCGGCAUGCCUCUGCAGAGAUUGAAACCAAAGCAAAGCCAGCUGGAAACAGCUUCUGCGGGAGGACUUCCAGAUCUGCAUGGAAGGAAGGUGUGUGGACUGGAGUGAGCUGUCAUGUCAGUAUGCACAAUGUCAUCGACGGGUGCUGCCUUGCAAAGAAUCAUGCCCACUGCCCCCAGCAUGCUGUCUGCCUGUGGGAAGCCUGAGAUCUGUGAACUGAGGGAGCCGCUGUGGUCUACACAAGGGUCUCCUUGGGGAUGCACUGCAUUGGCAGAAGGAAGAGGCUCCUGAAAACUUGUGUGGUGUGGUAAACUGUGGUUGACUUGGCAAGGCUUCCCUGUAUAUGAAUCAAUGAUAUGUGUCACUCCACUCAAUUAAAAAAAUACUUCCAGCAGAAUUUCUCAAAUGGCUUGUAACAGUACAGAUUUUGCAUUUCAAGAGUCAGCUUUCUCUUGAAAGACUAUGAGGUUUACCAAUAAUCAUAUAAAAUCCCCCAUAUUACAUAUGAUUUUUAUUAUGGCUAUGACUGUAUAACAUCUAAUAACCUUUCUCCUAGAUGAAGAAAAUUAAUUGAAUCUACUCAUCUUCCAUCUACUAUCUUCUCAGUUUCAAUGGGGAAAAAAAAAGAAAAAGUGGAAAACAAAUUAUUUUUGUUUUAAGAGAAUUAAAAUAGCUAAGAAAGUAUGCCCUUCUAUACCAGUAAUGAUAGACCCUGCCUGGCUCCUACAGCGGAUACUGUUUCAAACAUUAUAACAUUUUGUUGAUGAACAUGCCCAACUGAAUUUCUAACCAUUCAUUUUCUAAAUUGUACUUUUUAAAACUUGACAAGACUCGUU
ensembl:lncRNA